rnacentral:pre_miRNA from 1 species
UUACUACUCCCUCCGUUAGAAUUACUUGUUGUAGAAAUGGAUGUAUCUAGACGUAUUUUUAGUUCUAGAUGCAUCCAUUUCUACGACAAGUAAUUUGGGAUGGAGGGAGUAUAUA